rnacentral:SRP_RNA from 1 species
GCAGGCUGAAUGGUACACCUCUGUAAUCCUAGCCAAGAGGGUGGCUGAGAGUGGCGCAUCUCUUGAGCUUGGAAGUUUGGAGCUACGUGGGCUAAGCCUAUUGGGCGUCUGUACUAAACUGAGCAUUAAUUUGGCGAACCUUUGGGAGCAGGGGGCCACCAUGUUGGCUAAGGAGGGGCAAACCAGCCCAGGUCCUAACUGGAUCAGGUCAAAGCUCCAGAGCCUAUCAGUAUUAGGACAGUUUCCUACACUUCCAGUUGUGUAGUUAUGAUGAGAUAGAAAGGCUGAGCU